UGAAUGCGGUAAGAGUUUUCUUUUUGAGCUUUGGGUUGAGUGGCAUUAAUAGUCAGCUGUGUUUGAAUUGUGGUUCAAGUUAUUUGUCCAUUUGAAAGCAAAAUCAAAUAAGCUUUAUUCUGCAGCAAAGUUUAUUUAAAAUGUUUGAAUACUGGAUCGUAUAAAACCACUCUUACAGAGUUGCAACAAUUAAAGUGAAAAAAAACCACCCACCCAAAGGCCAACUGCAGGAGCCCUGCGCAUUGCCUGUCCACACAAACUUUUUUUCCAAAACUUUCUUUAAAAGCCCACUAGAAGUCAGGGAUCUUGUGACCGGGAGCAGGGCUGCCAAGGGCGAGAGGAGCUUGUUUUGCAACUGGGCCUGGGGGAUUGCUACAUCUGGGAGCUGGGCUGCAGCUGUAAAACACAAAACACAUGCUUUUGAGGGCUGGGGGCUUUCCCAAACCAAUCUAAACAGAUCCUCUGCCCCGUGCAGAGGUGCUGUCCCAGGGAACCUUCAGUCUGUUGAGCUGGAGUUGCUGUAGGCUGUGAAACCAUUGAGCUGGCCAUGUGCAAAGUGAUAUAAAGCCGGGGUUUCAGAGCUGUGUAGGACACUAGGACAGGAGGGGUGGGUGCUAGCCUCGGGGUGGUGGGAGGGUGGCUCUGUCUCCUGGGAAAAAGCUGCAUCUGUAAGAGAAAAGUCUCUUCCAGCCUGUCCUGCAGAAAGAUUGCAAGGGCAAAUCAAUGGGAAAACCCCCGAAAUUUGGUGAUAAUUUAGGGUCCCCCAUCUCUGUGCCUAGUGUUAAUGGCAAAUUAAACUGCUUUUUUGUGCUUCUGUGGGGAAGGCUGUACCAUGCCCCACCACCCUAUGCACGCAGGCUGGGCAGCGAUGCUCCUGCAGCGGGGGGCACAGCCCCCCAGCUCCUGCUCCUCAGACCAGAGGCUGCUCCCGGCCACAGUCUCCUGACAGGCCUGAAUUAAUCAUCCGUUUCCCACUGAUCCUCAAAUAAGCACUAUUGCACUGGAUGGCACGUUCCACUUCGUUACCUAGUGUAAGUGGUAAGGCUGUAAAUCUGCUUCUGCUUGUCUACUUAAAUUAUCUUCCCUCCCUUUCUUCCUCUUUUAUCUUCCUCCUUCCUCAAUUCCUCACUUUUUUAUGACACCCAUAACAGUCCAAAGUCUGCAGCAGUGUGCGUUUUGUUGUUCCUCAUCUUUCCCCUAUAUAAACCAACCUAUAGCUGCUUGACUGACUAAGCUUGCAGAAAUCUUGAAACCUAAAUACUGUUUCUCUGCCGUGAUAAUCCACAGAAAAUGAGCGUGGAUGAACCGCAGCCCCACAGCCAUCCAGCGAUGCUGUGCUUUAUUGCCCCAGCUCCUCCUGCUCCCAGGCUGGCAAAGCCAAUGGCUUUUGCUUUAGCAGCAAUUUUCUCCCCUUUCCCCCUCUCCUCUGUAAUGAAAAGUUUCUCACAGCAUAGAGGCUGGAGACACAAAUUAAUGCCCUUUAAUUACCUAUCCAUAAUAAACAAAACCAGAAGGUUUCUCAUGUCAUUCUUGCAAUGUUUACUAAAACAGAGACUUUGCUCUGGCAGACCUCUCCUUCACUGGCCAAAACUCAUGCUGAAGGUUAACAGCUCCUGAAGUUAAUGAUUAUCUUUCCUUGUUUGCUCAGUGUUUCAGAGUUAAGACAUGUAAAUACUACUCCCCCGUGUAAUUGCUGUGGUGAGCCAGCGAUGAGCACUGUACAACACAUAAACACGUCUAUUAGCAGGGAGAAACGUCACUCCCAGAAACGUCUGCUUGCCCAGAAAGAAGCCAGCACAGGGUAACACCGUCCCGCUCGGGCUGGCGAUUACAUGGAGCCUGCUAUGAAAACCCCCUCUCAAAAUAGCAAUUUCUAAUCUUCCCUGAGGCCAUUAAUCAGGUUCCUAAUCCAAGCAAAGCUGUCCCUACUGUAACGUGCUGCGAUUCCCCCGCCUUUAUUAGAAACCCCUCUCAGUUACGGCCAUUUACUGGGUCAGGGAACUGAUGGCAACGCUCGCCUGGGCAGAAAUAGCUGCAAAUACUUGGUGAGACAGAUGUGAGAGAGUGGUUGAUGCCUUGACCUGGCUGCACCUCACCUGUGAGCUCUGGACCUUAUGGAAGGCUCAACUGUAUAGAAAUACAUCGCAGUGCCAGCUUCUAAUUUGAUAUUUUUUGAGGACUGAAAGCAAUCUCUGCUUUUCCGGAGACAAACGCAAUAGCUGGUCUUGCCCAAUGGCUUCCAAAUGAGGUAGAAGUGGCCUGACCACAUAUGACAGUCAAAGCUUUCUGGGCAGCUUCCCAGGAGCAGAGGUUUUGCCUUUGUACCGGCUCAGUCCCAGCUGGGGUAACUCUCUGCCUCCUGCCCACCUUUCCCUGGGUGGUUCUGGCUGUCUCAGAGGACCUGCUGCCUUGCUGGGAUGGGGUGACGUGACUGAUGUGGUUAGUUUGCACGGCAUUUGUAGUAUUCAUGGGGAUCCCUCCGACAAAAGACGCUAUAUAAACGUCAACUCGCACCUCACAAAUCAAAUCAGUGUCCCGGUGCACGGCUGGACACGAGCAGGCGGUAUUAGUGAGGCAAUGGGCUGUUAAAUCUCCUCCUGCUGCAGCCUUAGGAGGCUCCCUGCAGCCCUGGGUAGUAUUUGGGCUUUGAGGCUUUGGCUGGAGAUCCCGGCUCCCACAGGGGCUCAGCUGGAGGGUGCUGCAGGGACGGUGGGGUGCUGCGAUGGAGGGGCUGUCCUGGUGCUCAGCAGCAGCUUGGCUGCUCGUGGUAGGGGGGAUUCCAUGGCUGAGCCCCAUCUGGGGGUUUGCCACGGUGGUUCCCAUGCAGCCCAGCGUCCCUGCCCAGCUGGGAGAGGGUGCAGCAGGGUGGGGAGGCAGCAGGGAGCUCCGGCUGGUGGGCAGCAGUUUCCAUGCCCCAGGGCUUGUUGUCCCCCUUGUACAUCCCACUCUGAAAAGCUGGUUUAAGCAGAACCACCACCAGUCCCAGGUUUGCAGGAGCUGGUAGGAAAGUUUAAAGGCGCCAUGCCCUGAGACGGUGGUGGUGAGUUGCACUGAGUCACCUCUAACACCAAGCCCAGGAGGGGGAAAAAAGUUUAAUAAAACUCAGGAAAUUAAUUGAGAUGUGUGAGAGCCCCAGAUAACUGAGCACUGCAAACAUCAUUGGGAUGUGCACCACCGUGCACCUCCCCAGGAAAAGCCCCCGCUGCCUCCCAGCCUCCCCUCCCUGCGCCAUCCCCAAGCACAGCCGUGCACGCUGCAGCAGGCAAUGCGUGUUCAUGGGGACGAUGAUAAAUACAGCAUGUUUUGUUUCUUUAUUUAGCCUGUUCCUCCCCAGAAGCUCCAAGGUCUUGAACUCGGGGUUUUUACUGAGCUGGCUGUUUAUCUGCCCAGGCCUGUGUGCGGGGCAGCCGUGGCGGUGGUGGUGGUUCCCUCCCCGGCAGGGUGAGCCCCUGGGACUGAGGGGGCCCAGCACCCCCUCCUACAGCUGGUGGCCUGUCAGCAAAGGCUGUGGCAGCCUCUGCACCCCAGCACCCUACUGCGCCCACAUCGCGUCCGGAGCAGCUGGCCUCCCCUGGGGUUUUGCUUUUGUGUUGCACUGCUGAUGUUUGUCCAUAUAUUUUAGCGUCAUUUUGCUGUUCCUUUUCCCCCCCAUCCCUCUCCCCUUAUUAACAUCAUUUAGCUAAUUCUCGGGAAGUCUCCCACGCCCCGUGAAACCCUGAGCCCCUGCCACUUCACCAUGCUCUCCCCUUCGCAUCUGCCUGGCUCCAUGGCCCAUCUCCCAACGGUGACCUGUGCCCUGUCCUGUUCCAAAGCCUGCCCAGUUCCAGGCUGCACAUAGGAGUGGUGGAAGGGGAAGAAAACAUGUUAUCCGAAGGUUAAUGCAGGGCCCUGAGCAGGGCAGGUGUGGGGCUGGUGUCAUGCUCUUGCCCCACACUGUGGUCCUACUGGCUGGAGGCCUGUAUAGUCAAACUGGGAGCCCCUGCCUUGCUCAGCCGCCAACCCCUGUCCUGAGGAGACCCCAGAGGGGUGUGGGGUCAGAGUGUCCCUGGUGCAAGAUGCUGCCGGCAUGGGGCAGUGACUCAUUUUGCUGCUCGGGGCCCCGGGUGUGGAUGUCUCAUUUGUUUCUUGCCUUGGCAACAGCAGCUUUGCCUGAUCCAGGGCUUUUGCUCCCUGCCCAGCACAGCACGGGGUGGUGGCACUCGUGGUCCUUGUCUGCUGUGCAACGUCUGAUCACAUCAGGCCACAAACUUGCAGCAAAACUACCUGCCUUAUCCCUUGGUUUCCUAGAAGUCCAGUGGCCGCCUUGGCAAGCAGAAACCCAGUCCGCAGGGCUUGCUAAAUCAACACAGCAGCAAUCAUUACACCGAGGUUUGCAUGACGAAGUGCUUGCAGCUGUGCCAGAGGGUGGGGGGUUGUUUUUCAAUCUUUGCUUUUUCCAUUUUAGCUCCAGAGGCAAAGCAGCCCUUUGAAACAGUGCAGGGGGGUGCAGCCUGCGUGCACAAGAAGGCAAAUUGAGCGUUUGAGCCAUGCCUGGCUGCUGGAGCCCCAGAGCCUGAGGGGAUGCCCUGCCUGUGUCUGGCAGCCUCCUCCAUCCCUGGGAAUGCCCAGCUGCCGGGCACUGUGCUGGGGCUGUUAGAUGCUCAGGCUAGUGGUGUUAAAAGAAAAAUUAUUUCAGUGCAAUGAACAUAACCUGAGAUGCAGCUGUGGCAAUGGGCCAUAGGCAGCGUGCCCAGUGUCCUUCCGGGGAGUGGGAUCCCCCUGACUGCACCCUGACCACGCAGCAGCACCGUCCCUCACCAUUGCUUUCUUUUGCAUCUCUUGGCUUUUCUUUUUCUCUUUGCCGCCUUCUUUUCCUCAUUUUUUUUUUCCAUUUUCUUUUUCCCUCUCCUCUCCUCUCCUUGGCUCUUUCUCCCCUUCUGCCGUGCCACAAUCAAUCAGACAGAACCUGACAGCCAGGAGCAGCCCCUGGCUCUGUCAGACGCUGAUGCCCAGCAGUACUGUGGUCUGACUUUGCUGGCCGGGACAUGACCCCUUCCCGAGGGAAGCAGCAGUGCUGGUGCCUGUGUCAGCCUGGGAGGGAGCCUGGCAUGUUCAAGGUGUAGCAUCCGAGCCCCCUGCCCAUACGAGCCGUCACUCUGGCUCCUGGUAGCCAGCACUAACGCGCUGUGGUUUUGCCACUCCAAAAUCCCAAGACUUGUAACAAGAGCUGGGGUUUUACCCAACACUGUUGGUGUGAAGGGUUCCGUGGAAACUUCUCUGGUUUCUGCACAUGUUGGCUCUGAAAGCCAAGCCUACUUGCCCUGAGCCACGUGGCAGGGCCCUAAUUUGAAUUACGUACAAGCGUGAGUGUCUCCAGCCCUCACAUCAAGGGUGGGUGAGAUCUGCCCCUGGGCUGGCCCAGAUGGGCUUUCUGGGCACCAGCAGCAAGAUGGGUAAAGCAGCUGGUUAACCCUCUUCCCCAUUUUCCCCUCUUCUUCCCCACUUUUACCUGAAGAUGAGCUGCACAAAUGUCUGAUCCCCUGAGAUGCUGGACUGAGAAGCAGAGGUGGGCACCAUCCACCCGGGAACCCCCCAGCAGCCAGCACCGGGGCUCUCUGUGCCCGGAGCAGCCCUGCUGGGCAGGGACCUGCCGGUCCGCGGGCAGGGUACAGGGCCGAUGCUGGAGCCACCCAAGGGGCUGGGACACCCACCUGAGCACCGUCCCCUCUGCCCCCAUCACUCAGCACCCUGCCACUGCAUGGCCUCGACAACAUCUCCUUGGUACGAGCCCUGAGUGGCGUCUGGUUUGGCUUGGCUGGGGGCUCCCUGCAGCCCCAUGGCACUGCGGGCUGGGCUGCGAUGGAAGAUGAAGGGCUCCGCAAUGUCUGUAGCCAUGAAGCACAGCGAAAAAACCAGCUUAUUCAGCGGAGGACCUGGGAAUGAUGGGGACCAAGAGGCAGCCCAAGACUGGUGGGGAUGGAGCAGGAUGGAGAAAGCAGGAUUAUCGCCUGGAGCGAGGCUGGCAUGGCCCAGAUCAGGGUAUGGAAGGGCCAGCACCCAGCCACGCUCCCCUGAGCCAGGAUGCCUGCAGGACCUGGACACGAUGCCUCUGGCUCUGGGCCAAGAAGCUGCUUCCCUUUGGCCGCUGAAGCCUGGGAGUCCCGUUCACUGGCAGCCCCUUUCCCCAGCAGCCCUGGCUUCCCCUGCCCUGCCCUGGGGUGGCCACAGGGCUUUGUCUCCCACUUCUGUGCCACCCGGGUGUCUGGUGCAGGCUGACCCCAGCACCCUGGCACUGGGACAGCCCAGCCUCCCUGCCUCCGCAAGCCCUGGGCUCCCCCCCUGCUGCUGCCUCCCCCAAACCAACCCACAAACCCAGCUGCAAACCCAGGCUGUGCAACAGCUGAACACUGGGAAACUGGGCAGGUGCCAAGGACUUUGAUCCCCAGCCAUAAAACCCUCCUCCACAAGCUGACUUCUCUUGCGAAAUGAUCUCCGGGGGCUGCUGGGCUGACAUGUGCUGCCCCCACAGCCUCCACUGCCCCAGCAAAGGGGGCUUGGCUGGUAAGUGAUGGUCUCGCCAGCAGCCUCAUCCCGUAGGGAUGUGUGUGUGCCAUGGCCGGUGCCGGGCAGAGCGUGUUCCACCAAAUACAUGGAUUUACCUUGGCCUGCUCCCAGGCGCUGCCACGCUCCUCCCCGGCACAUCUGCAUGUACCAGCCACCGCCAGGCCAGCUGAAAACCUUCAAACCUUCCCGGCUGGGAGACGCCAAGCAGAGGGCACGUGCUUGGCAGGGUGCUGAGCCCCUUCUCCUGGAGAUGCCCGGCGGGACAGGACAGGCAGCGCUGCCUGCGCCAGCACCAGCGGCACGGGAGCCUGCCUGCUCCCACAGCAGGUGGCCAGAGCUGCUGCACUGCUGGCAGAGUUAUCAGAAGUGGAUGUUGGUGUCUGCCUUAAAAACCUUAAAAAAGGUUUUGGUUUGGUUUUUUUUUUUUUCAUUUUGGGUUUUUUCUUUUGUUUUUUUUUGUUUUUCUUCCCAGGGGUUGCUCAGCAGCUGUAGCCUGUUCCAGCUUGGGGUGGGCAAUGCUGAGCUGCUGGGUGCGAGCCCGGCGCUGUGCUGGACAUGCAGUAUCAGCCUGGCCCGGCGUGGAAGGGCCACAGGUGCCCUCUGCUAAAGGGCAAUACAAGGCACUGGUGAACAAUUUCUUUUUCCCAUUUUUGUUAUCAUCUUUUAACUCCAGCAACAUCCAGCACACUGGCAGCACAGGGCCUUUUAUGCUAUUUAGAGACAAACAUGGGCAACAGAGGGAUUUUUUUGUGAACGCCAGAUUGCAGCUUGAUCAAACCAAGGCGAAACGGGGUCUGCACCAACAUGGAUGUGUAACAAGAUGGCAGAAGAGCAUCUGGGGUUUCUCAAACCAAGAAGCCUCCUAAUGAGACAAACACAAACCUUAUCCCACUGUCCAAAAUGCUGCUGGGUCCUCAGAGAAAGUGAUGGUCCCCCGAGGUGCAGCUGCAAGCAUCCUGGGCUGCAGGCGGAUGCAGGAAGCGCAGGACCAAAGCUCCUGCGGUCACGGCCAGCCCUGGGCUGCUCCUGUUUUGCUAUUCUGUAGUUAAACUCUGCUUUUUCCCAUCCUUGCUUCUCAUUUUUAUUAGCGUUUCUGCUCCUUAUAACCACAGCCUUGUCUCUCACACCCACAGACACACAUGCCAGUGAGACACCUCUGCACUGGCGGCCGAUGGUCCUGGGGAUGCGCCUCAAUCUGCCACCGCAUUCCCAAUUGUCCCCUGGGGCGGAGAAGUUCGGGGACAUAAAGGCUUUAACAUCAACCCAGUGUCACCUAGCCCUGGCUCCCCAAGCACGAUGGUAACCAGGAAUGUUUCUCCACUCUGCCAAGUAACCUGAGUGACUUCCAGUGCUCCCUCCUCACCUCCCUGCAGCUGGGCUCCACUCUGGGUCACACCUGGGCUUAAUGAUUUUGCAGCCCAGAGCUGCCCCUGCCCAGGGCAAGCCCCUCACUGUGGCUGGGACUGAGCAAAACUUGCUGCACUGAUGCCAAGCAGUGGAGCUCACCACAGGGCUGGAGCUGCUGCUGUCAGUCCCUGUGGUGCAGCAGCGGCUCGGUAGCGUGGGAGACUUCCCUGUUUUUCAUUAGCGAGCGCACUGAACUUUCCAGUACCCACCACGAGGUUCCCAUGGAUCAGGGCGAAAUCAGGGUUUGGCUCCACAUUAGCCCCUGUGCAGCGCCUGGCAGAGAGCCAGCUCUGGUCCCAGUGGAGGGGAUGAGGAGCAUCACCAGCAUGCCUUCACCCUCCUGCCAUUCUGACUGGGGCCAUGGUGUCCACCAGCUCCACAGAGAUGGCCAAGGACUCGGCUCCUGACCCUUUCUCUAGACAAGGGAAUAUUUUUUUAACAACAAAAAAAAAAAUCCCAACCCCAAACAUGUUUUUAAGGAGAAACAAAGAUUAGAAAUACUGUAAGUGGUGGAGACAAAGCACCAAAAAUAGCAUCUGAAGUUUCCUCUGCGCGCUCUCCCUGCAGGCAGCCUGCACUAUAUUUGUCUUCACUUGCCAUUUCUGCUGCAAUCAAUUUGCAAUUGCCGCUGGCGAGGAACGCAUCUAUUAAAAGCUCGACUGAGAUCUGUGGCAAAGAUGUCUGUAAUAAAAAAAUCUGGCCAUUCAUUAAAAAAAAUAUAAAUACUG